rnacentral:lncRNA from 1 species
UUUCUAAAAAAUAAUUUUUGUUAUUUUUUUAUAUCAUUUACCUAGUUAUCGAAAGGAUUCAAAAUCAAUAAUUUUUAAUGGUUGAUAUAUGCCGUUUUCAAGUUUAACGGUGUAGAAGUAUUCAAAUCAGAUGAAAUUUUGAUACAAAAUUCUUUAUACUAUCUACAACAAGAUCAAUAUUUCUGAUCGAAAAUUAUAGUGCUAUAUCACCACUUUUUAUAGGAUUUUUAUUUUCAGCCGUUAAAAAUUAUUGACUUUGAAUCCUUUCGAUUGCUAGGUAAUGAUAUCAAAAAAUGGCAAAAAUUAUUUUCUAGAAACUUCAAAUACGCUAGAUCAAGUCUAACGGAGCCGAUCGUUGAUUCGGAAAUUCCAUCAUCGAAAAUGGCUCAGGAGCACGGAGGCCUCCUUGCUCCUGAGAGCACAGCAGCACUUAUAAAAGCACCAAGCACUUAUUGCUUGUAAAUUUUUUACCUUUAGAUCUACACCUUUGAUCAUUUUUACCCGUUAGUUUGUACUAUUGAACCAACCACCUACUCAACCCUAGGGGGCCCACAUAUAGAGUCCAGCUAUGGUGCUAGUAAAAGCACCAAGCACUUAUUGCUUGUAAAUUUUUUACCUUUAGAUCUACACCUUUGAUCAUUUUUACCCGUUAGUUUAUACUAUUGAACCAACCACCCCCUCAACCCUAGGGG